rnacentral:rRNA from 1 species
ACUGUUUAUUAAAAACAUAGCACUCUGCAAACACGAAAGUGGACGUAUAGGGUGUGAUGCCUGCCCGGUGCUGGAAGGUUAAUUGAUGGGGUUAGCGUAAGCGAAGCUCUUGAUCGAAGCCCCAGUAAACGGCGGCCGUAACUAUAACGGUCCUAAGGUAGCGAAAUUCCUUGUCGGGUAAGUUCCGACCUGCACGAAUGGCAUAAUGAUGGCGGCGCUGUCUCCAGCAGAGGCUCAGUGAAAUCGAAAUCGCUGUGAAGAUGCAGUGUACCCGCGGCUAGACGGAAAGACCCCGUGAACCUUUACUGCAGCUUGACACUGAACUUUGACCUUACUUGUGUAGGAUAGGUGGGAGGCUUUGAAGCUGGAACGCUAGUUCCAGUGGAGCCGUCCUUGAAAUACCACCCUGGUAAUGUUGAGGUUCUAACUCUGUCCCGUGAUCCGGGACGAGGACCGUGUCUGGUGGGUAGUUUGACUGGGGCGGUCUCCUCCUAAAGAGUAACGGAGGAGUACGAAGGUGCGCUCAGCGUGGUCGGAAAUCACGCGUAGAGUAUAAAGGCAAAAGCGCGCUUAACUGCGAGACCCACAAGUCGAGCAGGUACGAAAGUAGGUCUUAGUGAUCCGGUGGUUCUGUAUGGAAGGGCCAUCGCUCAACGGAUAAAAGGUACUCUGGGGAUAACAGGCUGAUACCGCCCAAGAGUUCAUAUCGACGGCGGUGUUUGGCACCUCGAUGUCGGCUCAUCUCAUCCUGGGGCUGAAGCAGGUCCCAAGGGUAUGGCUGUUCGCCAUUUAAAGAGGUACGCGAGCUGGGUUUAGAACGUCGUGAGACAGUUCGGUCCCUAUCUACCGUGGGCGCUGGAAAUUUGAGAGGAUCUGCUCCUAGUACGAGAGGACCAGAGUGGACGAACCUCUGGUGUACCGGUUGUGACGCCAGUCGCAUCGCCGGGUAGCUAUGUUCGGAAGGGAUAACCGCUGAAAGCAUCUAAGCGGGAAGCCUACCUCAAGAUAAGAUUUCCCUAGGACUUUAUGUCCUCUAAAGAGCCGUUCGAGACUAGGACGUUGAUAGGUUGGAUGUGGAAGCAUAGUGAUAUGUGAAGCUGACCAAUACUAAUUGCUCGUGAGGCUUGACUAU